rnacentral:rRNA from 1 species
CCUACGGGAGGCAGCAGUGGGGAAUAUUGGACAAUGGGGGGAACCCUGAUCCAGCGACGCCGCGUGAGUGAAGAAGUAUUUCGGUAUGUAAAGCCCUAUCAGCAGGGAAGAAAAUGACGGUACCUGACUACGAAGCCCCGGCUAACUACGUGCCAGCAUCCGCGGACAUACGUAGGGGGCAAGCGUUAUCCGGAUUUACUGGGUGUAAAGGGAGCGUAGACGGUGAAGCAAGUCUCAUGGGAAAGGUCGGGGCCCAACCCCGGGACUGCAUUGGAAACUGUUGAACUGGAGUACAGGAGAGGUAAGCGGAAUGCGUAGUGUAGCGGUGAAAUGCGUAGAUAUUAGGAGGAACACCAGUGGCGAAGGCAGCAUACUGGCCUGUAACUGACGUUGAGGCACGAAAGCGUGGGGAGCGAACAGGAUUAGAUACCCCGGUAGUC